UCAGAAAACUCACAGCUUCCCGCCCGGCGCUCCCCUGUCUCUACCUGCUCAUGAUCCAGCCAUAAGGUCCUGUAUGGUGCUGCUUGAGAGGUGCGGGUCUUUGGUCCUCAGCUGGGUGUCAGUGCGGCUGGGGCGCAGUCAGCUGUGGCACCUGCAUCAGGGUGGGGCCUGUGCCUGUCAGCUGGUGGGACCGAGAGCCUUCCGUUGCGGGAGCCGAGUCCUGCCCGUUGAAGGCCCCUGUGUCCACGUGGCUUCUCCUUGGUGACCGCAGCUGGAGCUGCUCCCACCACUAGCCCGAGAGCCCUGUCUGCCCUGUGCCCGGCCUUGCCAUGGUUGUGCUCCCUUCCCCUGGCACAGGAUUCUUGUGGCUUUAUCCACACGUGUCUUUAAUGACGUUGUAGCUAGCAAGGCUCUUAUCACCUUCUUUCCCUAAAAUUGGCUGAAAUGUUAAGUGAGAUGUGAAAAAUAUGGAAUGUCAGCUUGGCUUUCCCUUGCUCUUCCUUUAUUCAUUUUAAUGAAACCGUCUUGUUUGUUAUGUGACAACCAGGAAGGAUGCUGUGAGGAGGGGAGGGUUGGAGGCCGCCUUUCUGCCUCUCCUUCCAGUGCUCUCCGUGUCUUCCAGGUGGAGGCUGACAGAGGAGGCAGGAGGAGGGGAGGAGCCCGGGUGCUGCUGCUCUCCCAGUGCUCCCGGCCUUGCAGCUGCGUGUGUGAGCCCGAAGGGAAGGCCUGCAGCUGGGGGACAGGCUGCGGAGGGGCCCACGCUCGUGCUGCUGGAGGACGCGGCCACCGAGAUCUCAGACUGGAUGAGAAGUUCCCUCCCAGGCAGCAGUGUGGGCUGGGCCUCCCACAAAGAGUGGGACAGCCGCCCUGCCUGCCAGGUGUUCCAUGUUGCCCCCUGGGGUCCUUCAACCUGCAGGCCUUGCUGCUGCCCCCCAAGGAGACCUUGCCUGAGGAUUCGGCCCUGGAGAGACCCUGAUGCUGAACUUGCUGAACUCUGGCAGCCCCGUUGCUUUGGCACCAAAGCGUCAGGAUGCCGUCCAGAGUAAUCAGAUUCCCCACAGUUUGGGGUCGACAUUAGCAUCAGCAGGAAGCAGAGGAGUGACAAGUUGUCCAGAUAAAAUUUGAUGCUGGGCCCUUCUUCUUCGUACACACAGACUAAUUUGGAGGGAUCAGAUAAAUCACGAAUGCUGCAUGGCCAUUCAUUCAUCCCAAAUUGUUUUCAUUGAAGAACAGUCACCUGGCAUUUGGAAAAGGUUCGGUCCAUAUAUUACAGUCUUUAUGACACUCAGUGUUUCUACCGAUCAACCUUAACUGAUUUAUUGCAGUGCCAUGACUGCAUAUUUGGAAUAACUCUAUUACUAUGUUUUGGAGCUUUGUAAAUAAAAGCCACUGAUCCGGAAGAAAAUACCUUAAGAAUUAGUUUCAUUUAUUGGUGUAUGAAGUCAUUCUUAAAAACGAAUAAAGUACUAAGGUUUGCUGCAAUUUAUUCUCAUGUCAGUAUAAAUAAAUAGGGUCUAGCUAUCACUGUAUAUUUUCCACACCUUCUUU